rnacentral:lncRNA from 1 species
GGUUGCCACAAGGUGACUACGAAUUGAUAGUCAAAUAUUCCUACCAAGUCACUUCUUUCAAAGGAACGAAAAGCCUGAUCAUAUCCAACACAUCAAUGCUGGGAGGAAAGAAUCCAUUCUUGGGGAUUGCGUACAUCACCGUGGAUGUAUCUGCAUCUUUCUGGGAGUAGUCUUCUUGUUCAUUCACAUCAAGUUUGGCAAAAAAAGUGCCGAUGUCAUCAACAUCAGCCCAUCAACUUCAUAUUGAACGUUUGGGGAUAAAUCAAAAAUUCAGAGGAAAAAGUCCAUCAGCAAAAUCGUAUAACAUCUCUACUUACCAUGAUUGCUGUGUAAUCAUCCUGGUCUUGUUUGCCCAAGAAAUUUCUAUAAGAGUCAACUACUGAAAUGUGCCUCAAGAUAAAAUGAACUCGUGAAAAGAUAUUUUUCUAUCAGAACACAAGGGCAAAGUCUAUUUUGUACAAGGUGAUCCAAAAGUCCCGCACCACCAGCACCAGACAUCAGCACUGUAACUUUAAACGAAUCGAGAUCGGGACUUGAAAUUUUGUAAGUGCUCCUAGGUAAAAGGAAACGAAUCUUGCGGCCCCAACAAAUUUUAGGAAGACCACCAAAAAAAAAGUAAGAACCUUGAGGUUUAUAGGAGUGUUGCUAGACUUUUUGAUCACCCCGUAUCUAUCGAUGAUAGUAUCCUAGUUUGCGAUGUUAAAGGUUUCCUGUUAUACUUUAUUUCUAUAAGAAAACUCAUAAAAAUUUAGUGAGUUUUUCUCUAUAGAAAGUAUAUUCUCUAAAAAUUUUAAGCCGUAAUUUUAAUCUUGAAUGAGAAAGACUAACUUGCACUACCCAGUCGAAAAAAUUCAUCUACGCAAUUGAAAUGAAUUUUCUUUUGUCGUUUGUUCUCUAUUAUCAGAGUGUGCAGGGAGCAACAAUCAAUUAUUAUAAAUUUUAGUCAAAUACCUACCUCUUUCAGUUAAUUGACUAGUGCCAAAUUAAUAUUCUGGGACUUCAAAAGAUGCCAACUAUUCAGAAUUUACCCAAGAUUUUCACACUAUUAAUACUGAUACAUUGUUGUCUCCUGCAGGAAAAAAACAUAUCUUGUCUGCACUGCUUCAAUAUUUGUAGAAAAUUUAGAAUUUCUUCUUACAAGUUUAAAAAAUAAUCGCCGAAAAUUUCCAGGCAAUUCAUGCAACAGUUCUACUAUAAAAAUUGAAGUGUCAGUAAGAAAUAUUGACAACGCAACAGCACAUGAAAGUAAAACAAAGCAAUUGAGUAUCGUUUCUCCCUGCGGGAGACACUGACUUUAGGCACAUAAGUCUCUGGCACACUGCAUUUUUUCCUCUUUCUUCGCCUUCUGAAAUGGUUUAGAUCUCGGAAGCCCAUAAAUAUCAUAGAUUAAUCAAUGAUGAAAAAUAAAAUUACUGAUAAUUUUAUGAACUUCUAUAUUUUAAAUAGUUACUGUCAUCAAGUGCACUUAAGUUUAUUUACCUAGUCUUAACAUAUUAUGUACACUAAUUCUUAUUUACUUAUUUAGUGCGAUAAACAUUUAAUGUAUACUGACACAGGAGAAAGGAAAUGUAAGGUGGACAUACGCUUGGCCCAUUCUGCAUAUAAAUAACUAGACAGUUUUAGUAUUGUCUGCCACAGGUUCCUUGAAAUCUAAAGGCAAUUUGCUAAUUCUUUCGAGUUACCGUCGUAAUUAAUUGAGGCUCACAAGGCGACCUUCGAGUUAAAGAGGUGAUGCUUAGAUUCCUCGUACUCACUGAGGUAAAAAUGAGCCGUAAAUUUCUUUGAAUUAAGGGAACAAAUUUUUCGAGCGAUCAAGGUUUCUAGCCCUCAGUGGAAGAGAAUGGAGGUUUUCUUCGAGUUAUUAGGGUUUUGACCUAUUGAGAUUCAAUUGUACUACUGUCUGAAACCAUUUUCGAGACUUAAAGAAUAUUUUUAGUAAAACGGUAUACAACAUUAAACCCUUGUUCUCAAUUUUCCAAAAUCACAAAGAAUGCCUUUGAACAGACUCGCACAGUA